rnacentral:rRNA from 1 species
AAUGAACGUUGGCGGCGUGGAUUAGGCAUGCAAGUCGCGCGAUUUCCUUCGGGGAAGAGCGGCGGAAGGGAGAGUAACGCGUAGAUACCUACCCUCGGGACUGGAAUAGCGGCGGGAAACUGUCGGUAAUGCCCGAUAACGUCCCCGGACCAAAGGUGUGAAUCCGCCGGAGGAAGGGUCUGCGGCCUAUUAGCUAGUUGGCGGGGUAACGGCCCACCAAGGCGAAGAUGGGUACCGGGCGUGAGAGCGUGACCCGGCUCACUGGGACUGAGACACUGCCCAGACACCUACGGGUGGCUGCAGUCGAGAAUCUUCGGCAAUGAGCGCAAGCUUGACCGAGCGACGCCGCGUGCGGGAUGAAGGCUUUCGGGUUGUAAACCGCUGUCAGUGGGGAGGAAAUUCUUGGGGGUACUCCCCCUUGAUUGACCGAUCCGCAGAGGAAGGACGGGCUAAGUUCGUGCCAGCCGCCGCGGUAAGAC